AUUGAACGCUGGCGGCAGGCCUAACACAUGCAAGUCGAACGGUAACAGGAAGAAGCUUGCUUCUUUGCUGACGAGUGGCGGACGGGUGUGUAAUGUCUGGGAAACUGCCUGAUGGAGGGGGAUAACUACUGGAAACGGUAGCUAAUACCGCAUAACGUCGCAAGCCCAAAGAGGGGGACCUUCGGGCCUCUUGCCUUCGGAUGUGCCCAGAUGGGAUUAGCUAGUAGGUGGGGUAACGGCUCACCUAGGCGACGAUCCCUAGCUGGUCUGAGAGGGUGACCAGCCACACUGGAACUGAGACACGGUCCAGACUCCUACGGGAGGCAGCAGUGGGGAAUAUUGCACAAUGGGCGCAAGCCUGAUGCAGCCAUGCCGCGUGUAUGAAGAAGGCCUUCGGGUUGUAAAGUACUUUCAGCGGGGAGGAAGGGAGUAAAGUUAAUACCUUCGCUCAUUGACGUUACCCGCAGAAGAAGCACCGGCUAACUCCGUG
rnacentral:rRNA from 1 species